AAUGGGUGUCUCGCACAUUUGGACUAAAGGUUUUUCGUUGGUCCUCCCGUCUUGACCCGCAACAUAUAUUUGUCAAUCUCCGUUUCAUAUUUUUUUGCUCAUUGCAGGCGCAAAUUUCUCAGUUUCCUCGAAUUUCUCAAGAUAGGGGAUUCAAUGAUUGCUUGAUUCUGGAGGGAAAUUAGGGUUGAUAAGAUAGUGAGGAAAGGGAAAAAAAAGAUGGGUUAUUUCAAGCAGGCGCUAAGAAGCAUCGAUGCGUCGCACUCCAGCCCUCACUGCCUCGCCCCGACCUGUCCCCUUCAAUAAGUCGGCGCCGCCGCCCCUCAGUCCGCCGCUAUCCCCAGCAGAUACGUCAGCCACGGAAAUCGUUUCCAGUUUUCAGUGAAUCCAUCUGCCCUGGCUUGCAAUGACUCUGAGCGACGUGGUACGGUAUUUUGAAAAUAGUUGUUGCUCGCUGCCUAUGGCUCAUGACCAACUAUUGUUGAGAUAUGAGUUACAGGAAGAUCAUUCCUUAUUAGGGGAAGAUGAAUUCGAGUAUGACCCUGAUCUGGUCAAGGUUCAAAUUAAGUCAUGUCUCGAGUUUUGGCUGGGCAAUAGAGAAGCCAGUUACCCUCCUAUGGAGGAGCUCUGGAAAUGCAAGUUCUGCAAGUUUGCCUCUGUAUGUCCAAUUAACUUAGACCUAGAUGAUUCUCCAAGCAAAACGAAAAGUGAAGACAUUCCUUCGCCUGAUCCGACUCCUAAGUAAGCCAUUCUUCAUACUCGGCUUCUCCUCAAAGAAAAGGAGCAGUUGGAUUUAUUGAAUCUACUUGAUUCUUGCUGGGGUUGUUGCUGUUAAUCUCUCCCAUUUGGAGGAUUUACUACGUGGUUUAAUUUGUUGGUCAGUUUAAUAUUGUUGUAUAGUUCAUUAUUGUUGUUGAUUGUUAUAACAUUAGGAUUAAAUGUCAAAUAGGAAAUUGCGAAAUUGUAUUGCAUUUACUGCUGCAUCGUAAAGUUCAACCCAUAACUUAUUUAUGUAUUAUUUGAA